CCUACGGGAGGCAGCAGUGAGGAAUAUUGGUCAAUGGACGAGAGUCUGAACCCGCCAAGUAGCGUGAAGGCUGACUGCCCUAUGGGUUGUAAACUUCUUUUAUAUGGGAAUAAAAUGUUCCACGUGUGGGAUUUUGUAUGUACCAUAUGCAUAAGGAUCGUCUAACUCCGUGCCAGCAGCCGCGGUAAUACGGAGGAUCCGAGCGUUAUCCGGAUGUAUUGGGUUUCAAGGGAGCGUAGGUGGAUUGUUAAGUCAGUUGUGAAAGUUUGCGGCUCAACCGUAAAAUUGCAGUUGAAACUGGCAGUAUUGAGUACAGUAGAGGUGGGCGGAAGUCGUGGUGUAGCGGUGAAAUGCUUAGAUAUCACGAAGAACUCCGAUUGCGAAGGCAGUUCACUGGACUGCAACUGACACUGAGGCUCGAAAGUGUGGGUAUCAAACAGGAUUAGAUACCCCAGUAGUC
rnacentral:rRNA from 1 species